rnacentral:rRNA from 1 species
GACGAACGCUGGCGGCGUGCCUAAUACAUGCAAGUCGAACGGAGUGGCGCACGGGUGAGUAAUAUAUAGCUAAUCUGCCCCUUGCUGGAGGACAACAGUUAGAAAUGACUGCUAAUACUCCAUAGCAAGGGAUGAGACUAUAUCGUAUCAGCUAGUCGGUGGGGUAACGGCCUACCGAGGCUAUGACGCGUAACUGGUCUGAGAGGAUGAUCAGUCAAAUUGGAACUGAGACACGAUCCAAACUCCUACGGGAAGCAGCAGUAGGGAAUAUUGCGCAAUGGGGGUGUCCCAGACGGGGCUACGCCGCGUGGAGUAUGACACUUGUCGGAGCGUAAACUCCUUUUGUUAGGGAAGCGUUACCUAACGAAUAAGCACCGGCUAACUCCGUGCCAGCCGCCGCGGUAAUAC